rnacentral:rRNA from 1 species
GAGUUUGAUCAUGGCUCAGAUUGAACGCUGGCGGCAUGCCCUACACAUGCAUGUCGAACGGCAGCAUGAUCUAGCUUGCUAGAUUGAUGGCGAGUGGCGAACGGGUGAGUAAUACAUCGGAACGUGCCCUGUAGUGGGGGAUAACUAGUCGAAAGAUUAGCUAAUACCGCAUACGACCUGAGGGUGAAAGUGGGGGACCGCAAGGCCUCAUGCUAUAGGAGCGGCCGAUGUCUGAUUAGCUAGUUGGUGGGGUAAAGGCCCACCAAGGCGACGAUCAGUAGCUGGUCUGAGAGGACGAUCAGCCACACUGGGACUGAGACACGGCCCAGACUCCUACGGGAGGCAGCAGUGGGGAAUUUUGGACAAUGGGCGAAAGCCUGAUCCAGCAAUGCCGCGUGUGUG